AAAAUACUUCCUUCGUCCCGAAAUAAAUGAUUCAAAAAUUACUUAACUUUAUACUUAUUUUAGUAUAAAGUUGAGUUAUUUUUGAGUCAUUUAUUUUGGGACGGAGGGAGUAGUAC
rnacentral:pre_miRNA from 1 species